rnacentral:rRNA from 1 species
UAAUGCAUAGGAAUCUGCCCGAUAGUGGGGGAUAACCUGGGGAAACCCAGGCUAAUACCGCAUACGUCCUACGGGAGAAAGGGGGCUCCGGCUCCCGCUAUGGGAUGAGCCUAUGUCGGAUUAGCUAGUUGGUGAGGUAACGGCUCACCAAGGCCACGAUCCGUAGCUGGUCUGAGAGGAUGAUCAGCCACAUCGGGACUGAGACACGGCCCGAACUCCUACGGGAGGCACCAGUGGGGAAUAUUGGACAAUGGGGGCAACCCUGAUCCAGCCAUGCCGCGUGUGUGAAGAAGGCCCUCGGGUUGUAAAGCACUUUCAGCGAGGAAGAACGCCUAGCGGUUAAUACCCGC